GCCGAAGUUCCCACAUCUGCGCAGGCGCAGAGUAUUAACUUUCAGCCGCCGGAUUUCCAUAUGAAUUGAAAAACAGGAUAGCAGGAUAGGGAUAGUUUGCCUAAAAGACGCAAACAUAAAGUGCAUGAUUGAUGCGAUGACAGAGCAUCAGAAUGAAAAAAAAGGGAAAAAAAGAGGAAAAACGCGGAAAACUUUCAACCGUUGUCAAGCCAAGUUUGCCGACAACCCCCUUGGGGAAACGACUGGGAAAACCCAACCGCAGCUGCCGAGGAAAACUCUCCGCUGCUCGUAUGCAAAUCAGUUCAACCGUCAGUUCGUCAUCCUCGUCCUGCGAAUCCUGCGAAUCCUGCAAUUUGAAUCGGCGAAAGCGAAACAUCCUCCUGCGACAGGCGUCGCGAAUCGGGGAACUGGUACAGGACUCGCUUUCUCCAUUGUCUCGCCAGGAUCUGCCAGCAGAAGUGACAGGCACUCGGAGCCGCCGGGAUUGAUCACUCGAGUUCUCAACAUGAUGUAGAGCGUGGCUUUUGCAUAACUUAGUUCGGGUUUACACGAUUCUUACAAGGGACUUAAGGGAAAGGUCCUUAGAUAUGGGAAAGCUGGCAGCGAAAGGCGAAACUAGAGAUGUACAAAAGAGUUUAGAGAAAAAAACUAGUUUACAACAAUGUGUUGUGAUUUAUAGGCAUAAAUUAAAUUAUUACUAUUAUGAUUUCCAGCAACUA